GACAGAGGGUGCAAACGUUGUUCGGAAUUACUGGGCGUAAAGCGCACGUAGGCGGCCUGAUAAGUCGGGUGUGAAAGCCCUGGGCUCAACCCAGGAAGUGCACUCGAAACUGUCAGGCUUGAAUAUGGAAGAGGGUCGCGGAAUUCCCGGUGUAGAGGUGAAAUUCGUAGAUAUCGGGAGGAACACCAGUGGCGAAGGCGGCGACCUGGGCCAAUAUUGACGCUGAGGUGCGAAAGCGUGGGGAGCAAACAGGAUUA
rnacentral:rRNA from 1 species